rnacentral:rRNA from 1 species
AUUGAACGCUGGCGGCAGGCCUAACACAUGCCAGUCGAGCGGAUGAAGGGAGCUUGCUCCUGGAUUCAGCGGCGGACGGGUGAGUAAUGCCUAGGAAUCUGCCUGGUCGUGGGGGAUAACGUCCGGAAACGGGCGCUAAUACCGCAUACGUCCUGAGGGAGAAAGUGGGGGAUCUUCGGACCUCACGCUAUCAGAUGAGCCUAGGUCGGAUUAGCUAGUUGGUGGGGUAAAGGCCUACCAAGGCGACGAUCCGUAACUGGUCUGAGAGGAUGAUCAGUCACACUGGCACUGAGACACGGUCCAGACUCCUACGGGAGGCAGCAGUGGGGAAUAUUGGACAAUGGGCGAAAGCCUGAUCCAGCACUGCCGCGUGUGUGAAGAAGGUCUUCGGAUUGUAAAGCACUUUAAGUUGGGAGGAAGGGCAGUAAGUUAAUACCUUGCUGUUUUGACGUUACCAACAGAAUAAGCACCGGCUAACUUCGUG